rnacentral:lncRNA from 1 species
AUGACGCUUCCGCGCCGCGCCCACACGCCAGACGCCGAGCGGACCCCACGGCGACCCUCCUCCCGGCCCCAGGCCGCGGCCCCACGUGCGCGCCCCUCACGCUGCCUCAGAGGGGGGACGCGGGACCCGCAACCACUUCCGGGGGCGCGGCCGCGCGAUUGGCCGGACACGCAGCCCCGCCCCGCGCCGAGGCUCUGGCACCUCAUUGGCCGGGACGCGCUCGCCACGCGCCUGCGGGGUCCACGCGGGCGCCGAGAGUGCCCCGGCGCGCCGCAGGAGGGGGCGGGGCCUCGGGCCCAAGUCUGGGCGGAAGGGGCCGCGCUUCCGGGGCCGCCCCGUCGGCUGUGCGCGUCGCGCGGGUCCUCCUCCCCGGGUGUGAGGCUUCCCCGCGCGGCCCUCCCGGCCGGGUGGCCCGUUCCGCGCGGAGCGGACCUCGCGGCCGCUUCUGACGCCGAGCGCGGCCGGCUGCGGACGCCGGCGGAGGAGGCUCCCGGAGACGAACACCGGCGGAAGGGCGCGAGGCGAGGAGUGAGGCGAGCACGCCCAGCAGCAGCCCGCCCUCCUCGCCGCGUUGUCCUCUGCGUCUCCCGCGCCCCGUGCCCUCCCGUAGCCGCUUGGAUGCUUGAGGAAGGGAACCGGAAGGAGCCCCCGAGCCCCUGAGCUGGCGUCACUUACUACAUCAUGUAGAGUUCCUAAUGAGUAAGAUGUGGGUUCUUUCAGAAACACUUAAUGACAGCUGAGGACAUUGUUUUUCCUUGAAGCGCUUCACAAUACCAAUGAAAAAAAUCAGAGAGCAACCGAAACCACAGCCUCUGCCCUCUCCCUGAGGACUCAAGUCCUCAAACAUUUACAUUACCUACUAGGAACCAGUCUUCGUGAUGAAGCUAUGGAUGCAGGGGUAAGCAAGGUGGUCACAUGGUAGACACUCAACCAACAAUGUCAAAAAAUAAUCUGUAUGAAGGUCGUGAUGAAUGCUGUGAAGAACGAGUAUAAGAUUCUGGAACAGCAGAUACCUUCCAGACCUCCUCUAGAGGUGACCACUUCUAUGGCUCUUCUGAAAAAGGGACAAUUUUCUGUAAUCUGUCAGGUUGGGUAAAUACUGCUCACCUGAAGUUGGUCUAGUAGUAUCAGGCUGACAUAGUUAAGAACCCAGUAUUUCACCCUCUGAAGGUCCCUUCAAGAACCUUUGGUUCCUGCUUUCCCCUCUGUCUCUCUAGUCCUUUCUGUUCAUGGCUCUAUAUUGGGAAUAAUAGUAAGAAGUGGUUUCUGUCACAGCCCAGGCACCAGCCCCUUAUCUAAUGCCCUAAAAAUACAACUAUUUUUUGCACUGUUUCAGACCAAGAGGAUAAGUCACUUACCCAUCCUCACCUGUGACUGCUGCCCUGUUAGAGCCAAAAAAACAGGUCCAGGUCAGAGCACUUGAAAAGUCACUACAGCUUUGCUAAAGUGUAUGAGUGACUCUUGCAGAAAUACUACAGAUUGAGCAUUAGACUCUGUCUUUUAUAAUACUUACAUUUGAAAUGUAGUUCUCUCAACGCUUGUCAAUAAGACAUAAUAGCUGUGCAUCCUUGUAUAGUUAAAACCAGUUACAUAUUAAGGUGGUCCUUGUUUGGGGAUCUCUGGGUGGCUCAGCGGUUUAGCGCUUGCCUUAGGGCCAGGUCGUGAUCCUGAAGUGUGGAGAUCGGUCCCGCAUCGGGCACCCUGCAUGGGGCGUGCUUCUCCCUGUGCUUGUGUCUGCCUCUCUCUGUGUCUCUCAAGAAUAAAAAAAUAAAAUCUUAAAAAAAAAAAAGAUGG